rnacentral:rRNA from 1 species
UACGUAGGUGGCAAGCGUUGUCCGGAUUUACUGGGCGUAAAGAGCGCGCAGGCGGUCGUUCAAGUCGCGUGUGAAAGCCCCCGGCUCAACUGGGGAGGGUCACGCGAUACUGAUCGACUGGAAGGCAGGAGAGGGUAGUGGAAUUCCCGGUGUAGUGGUGAAAUGCGUAGAUAUCGGGAGGAACACCAGUGGCGAAGGCGACUACCUGGCUGUUCUUGACGCUGAGGAGCGAAAGCAUGGGAAGCGAACAGG